AGUCGUAACAAGGUUUCCGUAGGUGAACCUGCGGAAGGAUCAUUACCAAUCCAAAAGAUUACAUCUUUUCCUGUGAACUAAAGAAUUGUUUUAAUAUUUGGGUGGCUCUAAAUAUACAUAUAUAUAUAUAUGUAACAAUAUCAUAUAUAUAUAUAUAUUUAACCACCCAAAUAUUAUGAAUAACAACUCCAUUUCAAUACAAAAUUUAUAAAUUAUUGAUCUAUGAUACAUUUUGUAUAAAAUUAUCAUAAUCAAGUAAAAUUACAAAAAAUACAACUUUUAGCGGUGGAUCUCUUGGCUCAU
rnacentral:misc_RNA from 1 species